rnacentral:lncRNA from 1 species
GCUAAAUCAAAUUGGCACAGUGAAUCAAACCAAGAUGGAGUCCAGUAGUGUGGUCAAAUAUUUUUUCUCGUAACUCUUUCUAGUAAGAGUUCUCAUAAUACAACUCCUCUACCAUUGUGAAAAACUGUUGUGGGAGAAAAACUGUAGUUUGAACAACUGAAAUUUUGAAAUUUCAGCAUAAACAGUAUACAAGGAUAAAUAAAUAGCCAUGCAAGUGUCAAAAAAGUUAAGUGGCAAACAGAUAAACAAACUGUGGAAGUCCUUUUUUCAAAUAAAGAUAUCUGUUAUAAUUCUACAAAUGCACACUUGAAGCAGGAUUGAGAAAGAGCCAUAGCACCUGUAGUACAUGUGAGUCUCUGGUUUGGUAGGGGGACAUUGACUGCACUCUAGGGACAAAACUGACAAAGUCCUGAUCUCUUACCACAUUCUCUGGAAGUAUCUAUUAGGUGGCUGUGUGAUGGUCAGGAAAAUAAAGACAUUAGGA